rnacentral:rRNA from 1 species
AUUGAACGCUGGCGGCAGGCCUAACACAUGCAAGUCGAACGAGUGGCGGACGGGUGAGUAAUGUCUGGGAAACUGCCUGAUGGAGGGGGAUAACUACUGGAAACGGUAGCUAAUACCGCAUACCAUCGGAUGUGCCCAGAUGGGAUUAGCUAGUGGGUGGGGGAACGGCUCACCUAGGCGACGAUCCCUAGCUGGUUUGAGAGGAUGACCAGCCACCCUGGAACGGAGACACGGUCCAGACUCCAACGGGAGGCAGCAUUGGGGAAUAUUGCAAAAUGGGCGAAAGCCGGAUGCAGCCAGGCGGCGGGUAUGAAGAAGGCCUUCGGGUUGUAAAGCACUUUCAGCGAGGAGGCGUUACCAACAGAAUAAGCACCGGCUAACUUCGUGCCAGCAGCCGCGGUAAUUC